GGAAAAAAGUAAUCUGGCUCCCGGCGAGGACGCUGCAGCGCCCGCGGCCGCCCGGCCAGCGACCCCGGCCCCGGAGGCUCGGACCGGCCCCAGGAUUGGGGUUUCUGCGCCCCAGCAGACUGUAGGCGACUUGAAGGGAGAAAUUUGUCUUGCCCACCCUGUAUCGCGGUGGCAUGAAGCCAUGGUCAAUGCCAGCUGCUUACCUGGAACCAGACCUGAUGCCCCUUGUCACUCUGGGUGACUGAGGAGGAAUAUACUUGAAGAUGGAACCAAGUAUACCCCCACCCCCGUGUUAUGGCCGGAGGGCUGCAGCCCACAGAGGACGUGGCGGAGAGGGCUUCCCUGGACCUCUCUGCACUCUCAGACCCCUGGACCUUCCUGCUGAGGUGGACUCUGUCAGAGAAGAACAUGGAUCUGAUAAUCUCAUUCCUGCCAAGAUCACAGAUGGCCACGUGAGGACACAAAAAGAAGGUAGCCAUCUGCAAGCCAGGAGGAGGGCCCUUACCAAAACCCAACCAUUCUGGCACCCUGAUCUCAGACUUCUAGCCUCCAGAACUGUGAGAAAGAAACGUCUGUUGUUUAAACCAUGGUAUUUUGUUAUGUCAGCCCAAGCCGACUAAGGCACUGAUCAAAUGAGAAAAGCAGACGCAAAGUUGUAUUACAGUCUUCCUAUUGUCUUAUAAGUAAUGUGUGAAUAUUCAAUAUUCAUAGGAAUAAAGGUUAGAAAUAUA